rfam:Pantoea sp. PSNIH1, complete genome.
AAGAGCACGACAUUGCUCACAUUGCUUCCAGUAUUAUGUUGCCCGCCCUGUGCGGGCUUUUUUUU